CACAUUUCCAACAACAGUCCUUUGGUGGCAAUUUAGGCUCUCUCUGGCAAGCACCAUCAAACUCUAACCUCUACCCAUUACCCAGUUCCAAAGCUGCUUCCGCAUUUUUAGACUCUGGGAUGUCCAAGCUGAGGGUUCCAGCAGGGUACGGUUUCUGGUGAAGGUUCUCUCCCACUUCUCUGUUUCAUCUCCUCGGGACCACUGAGCACUGUCCAAAAUUCCACAGGCUUCACUUGCUUGUUGUCUUUCUCCAUGAGAGGUAAGUGCCAGGAGAGCAGCCAUAUAUCCCUGGAGUUCAUUGACGGAUCCUCAACACUUAGAACAUGGCCCGUGCCAACUAGAUAUUUGCUAAACGAGGGAACGAAUCGCCUCCCAUUGUGUAUGUGUUCACAAGAUUGUGUGUAAAACAGGAUAAAGAAUAUUAUUUACUGUUUACUUUGUUCUCACUGAUGAGGAAAGAAAGCCUUGUCACACCUACUUUAAACCUAAGGUUAUUUUCUUCUUCACGAUUUUAAAAAAUUCUUAUUCAUUUUUACCUCUUGAAGCCCAACAGGCAUUUCCUCCGCAUAUGUGUUCGGUUUUAUGUUCCUGAGAUGUUCCUCUUGAGAAAAACACAUAUUCCUGUUUCUGUCAUUAAAUAUCUUCAAGUGG